UACGUAGGGUGCAAGCGUUAAUCGGAAUUACUGGGCGUAAAGCGUGCGCAGGCGGUUCGGAAAGAAAGAUGUGAAAUCCCAGAGCUUAACUUUGGAAUGGCAUUUUUAACUACCGGGCUAGAGUAUGUCAGAGGGGGGUAGAAUUCCACGUGUAGCAGUGAAAUGCGUAGAGAUGUGGAGGAAUACCGAUGGCGAAGGCAGCCCCCUGGGAUAAUACUGACGCUCAUGCACGAAAGCGUGGGGAG
rnacentral:rRNA from 1 species